GACAGAGGCCUCGAGCGUUAGGCGGAAUCACUGGGCUUAAAGCGUGUGUAGGCGGACCUCUAAGUACCUUGUGAAAUCCCACGGCUCACCCGUGGAACCGCUGGGUAUACUGGGGGUCUUGGGCCACUCAGGGGCGACUGGAACAAGCGGUGGAGCGGUGAAAUGCGUAGAUAUCGCUUGGAACGCCGAAGGUGAAAAACAGGUCGCUGGGAGUGCGCCGACGCUGAGACACGAAAGCCAGGGGAGCAAACGGG
rnacentral:rRNA from 1 species